GCGCAUCGCAGCUUCCCCUCAGCGUUGAGGGGGGCCAGCGGAGGCGGCGCCAUCUUGGCGGAGCCGUGCCGGGAGCUGCGGGCCCCGUCCGAGCGGCGUGUCCGUUAAGUUGAUUUUACAGAAUUUAUCAGGUCUCCAAAGCAGAAACAGGUGAUUUUUGCUGUGGGUUGAGCUCAGCAUGGCUGUAGUCAUCCGUUUACAGGGGCUUCCUGUUGUUGCGGGUCCUCCAGAUAUUCGUCGUUUCUUCUUGGGAUUGAAUAUUCCCGAUGGAGGUGUGCAUAUUAUUGGAGGAGAGAUUGGGGAGGCUUUUAUUAUAUUUGCAACAGAUGAAGAUGCACGGCGUGCCAUGAGCUGUUCAGGAAGGUUUAUCAAGGACUCGCGCAUAGAGCUCUUUCUCAGCAGCAAGGCAGAGAUGCAGAGUACCAUAGAAAUGAGCCGGAAACGAUUUGACCGUGGGGGACGAGAAAGUAUGUCUGGCUCUAGAAGAACAGGUACUAAUGGUUCUAGUACAUCAAGUAUUGGAGAUAUACCACAUUUAGUUACAGCUUCUCCAAAAGUAAUAAGAAAACCUAGUUACGGGCCACCAAAUCGCCUGGAGGCUGGUUUCCAUACUAACGGCACAAGAUAUGGUGAUAUGGGUAUACCUAAGUCAAACUAUCAGUUAAGAAAGGAUUCUCACCCGUUUAACCCAGAUGAUCGUUACUUAUUUCUACGAGGUAUACCUUACUCUGCAACAGAAGUUGAAGUACGUACUUUCCUUUCAGGGAUACAUGUGGAUGGAGUGAUUUUGAUAAAGCACCGCAAUGGUUUAAACAAUGGUGAUUGCUUGGUAAAAUGUGCUACACCUGGUGAUGCCUUAGAAGGACUUAAACGUCAUAGACAGUACAUGGGUCAGAGGUUUAUAGAAAUUAGCCCAACUACAGAGGAACGGUGGAUUGAGUGCGGUGGAAGGAUAGACAUGCCAGAUGAAAUGGAUGACUUUUUGUGUGAAGACCAUUCUCCAAGAAGUUCAGGCUACAUGCAUUCAAGGAAGCAUUCUCGUUCAAGAUCACCAAGGAGACAAAGAACACAUUCUCGUUCAUCUCCUAGCCAGGAAUAUUACAUACACCUAAGAAAUCUAUCUUUUAAUGUAGAAAAGAGAGAUCUGAGAGAUUUUUUCCCCGAUUUGGAUAUACACAGCAAACAGAUCAAGAUUUUAACAGAUAAGCAUCAGAAAAGGACUAGAGAUGCUUUUGUGGUAUUAAGGAAUGAGAGAGAAUAUCAGGCUGCUUUGGAAUGUCAUAGAAAGGUUCUUCUCAAUCGUCCUGUGUACAUUUUUCCAAUUUCAAGAAAGUCAAUGUUGAAAAUAAUUGACUCUUGUGAGAGGAAAAGAUCACCAGACAGAGAUCAUUUUGGACAGGCCAUAUCAGAAAAAAGUUACCGGGAAGGUCAUUCCAGCCCUAAGACUUGUGUUUACGUAAGGAAUUUUCCAUUUGAUGUGUCAAAAAUCGAAGUGCAAAAGUUCUUUGCAAGAUUUGAUAUUGAUGAAGAUGAUAUUUACUUGCUCUAUGAUGAAAAAGGAGUUGGACUGGGAGAAGCACUAGUGAAGUUUAAAUCUGAAGAACAAGCUAUGAAAGCAGAAAAUUUAAAUCGUCAAACUUUUUUGGGAACAGAAGUAUUAAUAAGACUAAUAUCUCAAGAUCAGAUGGAGAAGUUUGGUGUAGCUGCACCAUUAUCUGCACCAAAUGAAAUGCACGGUCAUUCACAUCUGUAUGACAGAGCUGACCUCUCCCGUCCAGUUGGUUCACCAUCUGGGCCACCACAAGGGCCACCCAUGCAUUCAUUUGGUCCCCCUGGGAACUUCAGGCAUCAUUCUGAAUUUAGACAUCCCCCUGAGGACUUCAUGUGCCCUCCUAAGGAUUUUAGGGGUCCACCACCCCUCAUGGAUUUUGGUGGUGACAGUGAACCUUUUGGCAGAAUGGAGUUUGGGAAUAAUAAAAUGGGAAAUUUUCCUGAAGGAAGAUUUAUGCCAGAUCCAAAUUUCAGUGGUGGUUCUGAACGUGUUGUUCCUAUUCUAUUGAAAAACUUACCUUUUAAAGCUACUCCUAAUGAGAUUCUGGAUUUUUUCUAUGGCUACAGAGUGAUACCGGAGUCAGUUUCUGUGCAGUACAAUGAACAAGGAUUACCUUCUGGUGAUGCCAUCGUUGCUAUGACAAACUAUGAGGAAGCUAUGGCUGCUAUUAAUGAACUAAAUGAUAGGCCCAUUGGUCCACGGAAAGUUAAGUUGAGUUUGCUGUAAAGGAGGAAAAGAUGCUUUAAUAACACAUUCUAGGUUUGACAGUAUUGACAGUUAUUUUAACUUUUAAUUACUGGAAGAUGCAUAACAGUUUCCAUCAGCUGUUGUAAAUAAUACCCAGUUCAGUUGUUUAGCUCUUGGUUGAAAUACCUGUAGGACAUUGAAUGUCUUACAUCAAGGUAUAAAGGGAUGGAGUUUCAAAGGUUUCGGUUGUUUAUUUUUUUUUUUUUUUUAGAUUAAUUCCAGUCUUAUGUCUUUGCAUCAAAUAAAAACAUAAGUGCUGGUUGACUGACCACACAAACGGUUCAAAUAGAAGAUUUUCAGUGCUACCUGCAUUAAUAAAUGACACUUAAUGAGCUACUGUAAAAGAGAUCAAGGAGCCAGAAGAUGUUGCACAGAAAAUAAAGACAUGAGAAUCCUCAAAAUAAACUUCCCUGACCGUCACGUGGAAAACUUCAUUGUCACUGUUUUUGUUAGCUAGUGUCUUUACUACUAAGCUGUGUUUAAAAUGUGAAUACAACUAACUUCUCAAGUUAAUCAGUUUUAGAUGAUUUGUAUAUUUUUAAAGCACUUCUACUUAGACAAUAGGAGAUUUCAAACUUGGAGGCUGGAAAGGUAAGAAGGUUUAGUAGAAUGCUUUGCCAGUAAAGUGUGAGAUUGUCUUUCAGAAAAAAACCUACCUGUUUUCAGAAAAGGUUAAGAGUAAUUGCUGAUAAGAUACCAUUAGUUUUUCAGAUAGUAGACUCUUUUUCCCCCUUAGUGAACAUAUAAAAAGUAUCAUAAAGCUUGUAAUUGCAGAGGUCAUAAUUAAGGCAUUACAAGAUGGUCUUUUGUUUGCCCUGUAGCUGAUUUGUUAAUUUAAAGCCAGAUUAGAGUUUAUGACUAGUUUAGGUUAACCUGAAAUGUUUGAUUGAUAGACCAAAAAAAUUUAUUUUUCCAAGGUCUAUAAAGACCUGUAUAUCAAAGUAUGUACAGAUGCACUGAAGCAUAGGAAACUUGGGAAGGGAUGCCAGUAAGUACAUCAAUUAAAUAAUAAUAGGACAGUUGGUUCUUAGUUUAUAGCUGUUAUCUGAUUGGUGUUUUGGGUCUGUGUCCUUCUUCCUCUGUUCCCCCUGCCUCUAUAAUGCCCCAUGGCAUUAUAUUCUGAUUCUGCCUGCAUAGAUAGUACAGGUGCAUGAUAUGAUGACAGCAUUUCCUGAUAAUAGGAUUUUAUAACAUCAGAUGUUUAGUGAUUUGGAGGCAUUGUAUUUCCAGUACAAAGGACAAAUCAGAAACUGUCUAUAAUUAUGUGGCUUGAAAUACUGUUCUUCCUUUUUAAGUACCACCCAUAUAGUAAGGAGUAACAAAUGAAAUGCUACAGUUUGUGAUGUUUAUCUAAAACACAGCAAGUUUCCUUAGUUACGCCUUUCUGAAGUUGCUGUUGCUACCAUUGUCCAGAAAUUCUGAUGUCAAAGACAAGAGUUUCUGUUGUCAAAAACUAGAAACAGUGAUCACCUAUGAAAGCAGCUUGAGACAUUGAAGGAAGGUCUGUCUAAUAGGACAGUCUGAUGAGCACCCCUAAUCCCAAAGGAAUGUGUCAGUUUGUUCAACAGAGAGGCAAAACAGUCCAGGCAAGAAUGGAUACAUUCCUGCAUCGUGUAGGUGCCAGUUAUAAAAAAUAUGAAUGAGUGAUUGGAAUAACUGCAAGGUCAGUCUUGCAGUAUGCACUUGUACCAUGAGAAACAUUCUUUGUGGAAGAGUCUUCAGGUAAUACUUAAUUCUUUACUAACAACCUAACUUGUUAUUCUGGCUGUGAAGUAUUUUAACCAGGGACUUUUCAUCUGUAGUUUUGAAGUCACAAUUUCUGUGCAACAUGCAAAGUUAAGACAUCAUGCAUGCAGGACAAAGUUACCCAACACUGUACUUCUUUUCUGGAAAUUUUUCUGUGAUUCCUGAAAUUGACUUUUCUUUGUGACUUAGUAAGAACAAAUUUUAUGUUUGUGAACUGCAUCAUCUUUUAGAGGGCAAUUAAUGUUAACAAAACUGCCUUUUUUUCAGAAUUGCUUUCUCAAGGCAUAGUACACAAAUAUUUGCUAUCUGUAUCUAUGUACAUUAUAUGAAAACCUGAAAUUGUUACGAAGUUAGCCAUCUGUUUUGGAGAUGAACUACUUCAUUGCGUGUGAAAUGGUAAAGUGGUGAUCACCAUAAUUCUGAUGUGAUACAACUAUUUAUUGAAGUGUCUUACUUGCUGAAAUAGAUGGGAAAUAAUUAUGUAGAUGCUUUUAAGUUUUGCUCAUUGGCAUUUACUCCUUGACAGCAGUAAUUCAAUGUCAAUUGACAUUGGUAUGUAAUGCUGGUGUAAAAUUAUUUUCUGGGUUUUAAACAGAAUCCUGUAUUGUGAACUUUUCACUUAUUUGCAUCACAUUAAUUUUUGGCAAAACCUGUUUUUUCACAUGCCAAAGCAGGUAUGCAUUGCAUUCUUUUCAUCAGUGGACAAAAGUAGCAUCAAUAUUAUAAAUGCACUUCCUGGUUUAUUUCUGUAACUGAAAGAUUUUGUUACAACUUAAAAUUGCUUUCCCAGUGGCAAGUUUAAAUUCUUCUGCAUUUGUUCUUUAGCAGAUACUGGAGGUGAGCAGUGUAGUAACAGCUUUCUGGCAGACAACUAUACUGUGUUAAAAAAUUAACACAUAUAACCUCUAUAUCCAAACAGGAUAAGAAAUUACACUCAAAAUGUGUAAUUUCUUGUAUGUUUGAUGGAACCAGUAACUGAAUCAUGUAGCUAAACACAUGAAAUUUGAACUAUGUGUAGCAUGUCAACUAAUAUAAUAAACAACUACAUAAAAUAUCCACUAGUUUUAUCAUGAAGGCACUUUUAUUUAAAAGCAAAGCAGCAUUGAACAUAAGAUACUGGGCCAGGUCCUUAUUUAUGACUUCAUUCUGUAUGUGUAAA